rnacentral:rRNA from 1 species
UACGGGGGGAGCAAGCGUUGUUCGGAUUUACUGGGCGUAAAGGGCGCGUAGGCGGCCAUCUAAGUCAGACGUGAAAUCCCCCGGCUUAACCUGGGAACUGCGUCUGAUACUGGAAGGCUCGAGUUUGGGAGAGGGAUGUGGAAUUCCAGGUGUAGCGGUGAAAUGCGUAGAUAUCUGGAGGAACACCGGUGGCGAAGGCGGCAUCCUGGACCAACACUGACGCUGAGGCGCGAAAGCUAGGGGAGCAAACGGG